rnacentral:rRNA from 1 species
CCUACGGGAGGCAGCAGUGGGGGAUAUUGCACAAUGGCCGCAAGCCUGAUGCAGCGACGCCGCGUGGAGGAAGAAGGUUUUCGGAUUGUAAACUCCUGUCUUCAGGGAAGCUAAUGACGGUACCUGAGGAGGAAGCCACGUCUAACUACGUGCCAGAAGCCGCGGUUAUACGUAGGCGGCAAGCGUUGUCCGGAAUUACUGGGUGUAAAGGGAGCGUAGGCGGGACAGCAAGUCCAGUGUGAAAUCUAUCGGCUCAACCGAUAGCUGCGCUGGAAACUGUGGUUCUUGAGUGAAGUAGAGGCAGGCGGAAUGCGUGGUGUAGCGGUGAAAUGCGUAGAUAUUAGGAAGAACACCGGUGGCGAAGGCGGCCUGCUGGACUUUUACUGACGCUGAGGCUCGAAAGUGUGGGUAGCAAACAGGAUUAGAUACCCUUGUAGUC